UUAAAUUUGUCCAAUGUUUUUCCGGUAUGCUAUUAGGGUAUGACCCGAGGCCUGCGGUUCUUAGUUUGCGUAUUACUGAUCUAGUGCAGUUGUUCUCAGUCCAUGAACCCGAAAUGGUCCACGUAUGGGGUCCAAAGAAAGAUGAAUAUUGUAUACUUUUAACAUAUUGUCUUCCUUCAAAGCCAAUUUAUCCGAUCGUAUAAUUUGAAUGAUAAUCAACUCAAUCUCAUUGGCUGUUUCAAAUCCACAAUGUGAGUUCUCUGACGUCCAAACACACCAAUUCUUCAGUUGGA